CGCAGCCCUCCUCCCUUUCCUGGGAACCGUAGUCUCUCCUUCUGGGGAACUCAUCCUCCCCUACAUGAACCAGUGGUGCAGAGGGGCCUUGGGUCGUGGGGGCGGACAUAGCCCCCAGAAGAGCUGGGCUGAAUGUAUCUAUGCAGGUGGUGCUGGUCUACUGGGAGGUGCAGGCACAGGACUCAGUCUCCAGUCAAAAAUUGUGACCAUUGCACCAAGGCUGCCAAGAGGGAGACCAAUUAGUACAAAGUAAAUA
rnacentral:lncRNA from 1 species